GCUCGCAAGACCUGACCUGCACAGAGGCUGGGCUCUGAAGAGUCAAGUAGCUGUUGACCACAGUAUUACGCCGUCCGGGUUUUAGGUGGAAACCUCAAGUGCUAUGUCGGUAACAACGGCCAUUUUAGUGGCAUCAUUUGCAGUCUUAGUCAUUGUGACCAAUGCAGAAGUAAAAUACUUCGGCUCUCCAUUGGUCAUAACGAGGAGGUUGCGAAAUAACGUUGGCGCCAACAAGCAGUGGUUGGAUCCACUCAAUGUCGUCCGACCAGGCGUUCUUCAGAGUUUCAGCGUGGUA